rnacentral:rRNA from 1 species
AUUGAACGCUGGCGGCAGGCCUAACACAUGCAAGUCGAACGGUAACAGAAAGCAGCUUGCUGCUUUGCCGACGAGUGGCGGACGGGUGAGUAAUGUCUGGGAAACUGCCUGAUGGAGGGGGAUAACUACUGGAAACGGUAGCUAAUACCGCAUAACGUCGCAAGACCAAAGAGGGGGACCUUCGGGCCUCUUGCCAUCGGAUGUGCCCAGAUGGGAUUAGCUAGUAGGUGGGGUAACGGCUCACCUAGGCGACGAUCCCUAGCUGGUCUGAGAGGAUGACCGGCCACACUGGAACUGAGACACGGUCCAGACUCCUACGGGAGGCAGCAGUGGGGAAUAUUGCACAAUGGGCGCAAGCCUGAUGCAGCCAUGCCGCGUGUAUGAAGAAGGCCUUCGGGUUGUAAAGUACUUUCAGCGGGGAGGAAGGGAGUAAAGUUAAUACCUUUGCUCAUUGACGUUACCCGCAGAAGAAGCACCGGCUAACUCCGUG